rnacentral:rRNA from 1 species
AGCAGUCGCCGCGGUAAUACGUAGGGUGCGAGCGUUAAUCGGAAUUACUGGGCGUAAAGCGUGCGCAGGCGGUUAUAUAAGACAGAUGUGAAAUCCCCGGGCUCAACCUGGGACCUGCAUUUGUGACUGUAUAGCUAGAGUACGGUAGAGGGGGAUGGAAUUCCGCGUGUAGCAGUGAAAUGCGUAGAUAUGCGGAGGAACACCGAUGGCGAAGGCAAUCCCCUGGACCUGUACUGACGCUCAUGCACGAAAGCGUGGGGAGCAAACAGGAUUAGAUACCCGAGUAGUCCCUGUCUCUUAUAC